rnacentral:rRNA from 1 species
CGCGUAGGCGGCUCGGUAAGUCUGGAGUGAAAGUCCUGCUUUUAAGGUGGGAAUUGCUUUGGAUACUGUCGGGCUUGAGUGCAGGAGAGGUUAGUGGAAUUCCCAGUGUAGCGGUGAAAUGCGUAGAGAUUAGGAGGAACACCAGUGGCGAAGGCGACUUUCUGGACUGUAACUGACACUGAGGCUCGAAAGCCAGGGUAGCGAACG